rnacentral:lncRNA from 1 species
UCUGUAUUCACACAAGGGGUUGCCCAAAUAUAAUUUUGCUUUGACUAUUGAGAUCUAGUGAAAGUGGGGUAUAUGAAUUCUAAUUGCAAAUAUCCAGGCUCAGAGGCCCAGCAGGACUUUCUAACACAAUCUUUUAGCGGAAGUUAGAAAUGGUAUAUAGCAGGAGAGUCAGAUUUGAGAAGCAUAUGUAGAUUCGAAGCUGGGGGAAUAUGGCAGGUAGUUUGUACAACAUCUAAUUCAGAACAUUAAAAUUAAGAUUUUAGUCAAACUGUGUUUAAGUUAGUUCUUAUUUUCCUGUAGAUGCAUCUCACAGCACAGUACAAUACCAAAAAGCAUACUAGAAUAAGAAUAUGUGGAAUUUCUAUACCUAUUGACAAAGCACAUAAUUUAACCAUAAACACAAAGCCAUAGGUCAACAAAGAAAUGAAGAUUCCAGUUCUGAAGAGACAAGAUCUCUCCGUGUUGUCUAGGCUGGACUCAAACUUCUGGACUCAAGCAAUCCUCGCAACAUCAUUAAUAGCUGAGAGUAGAGACUUGAGCCACCACACCUGACUAUAGGGCCUUUUUGAAAGGAAAAUUGACAUCAUCAAAAUUUUAAAUAUAUUCAGUCUAUUUCUCAGAAACUCAAAG